GAAGUACGCUUGCUGUGAGUAAUUUGUACGAGGUUCUGAUAUAUGCGAACGGGUUAAAACACAAUAAAGAUUAAUCGGUAGGUUAGCUCUGGUUAAAUCACUGAGGGUAACUAAAUAGAUGAGUAAAUGCAAUCUGCUGAGAUUCAGUCAAGCAUAAAAUUAACUUUGACAUAUGUAUGUUAAUAUUGCCUGGUUUGGUACCGGCAAGCUGGGUAUGGCUGUAAGUCCUGAGGGGGACAUGGGUACCUCGCUCGAGGGCACAUGGCACUGUCAGCCAGUGCCUCGGCUCGGCAGAGCCAUAUCGUCCCUGGAGGGUCCCAUAGUUAAGGCUUAGGACUGAUUAAUUUUAGAUCUAAUAACAAUGAGGGCGUUAAGGAAACACACUUUCAGAGGAAAAGUAAAAGUCUAAACAUCGGGAGGCCAUUUUUAACUUUGCACCUUUUUAAGAGGUGUUUGACUCGCGUGUUGCACAUAAACAUAUUAACUGCAAACAGGUUAAACAUGAAUGGUUACAGACUGCCUUAGGUUAUCACUGAUUAUUGGAUAUCUAGACACCUGUGUCCACUGGAAGGGCUAGGUAGUUUGUCAUAAUAAUAUAUACAAGUUGAAAUCAUGUUUACAAUAUAUCACAAGUAUGUUGAUUUUAAGCUGUUGCAUCAGGAUUAAGGAAACCAGUGUAGUGAGAAUUGAGUGGUGAUGUCUCUG